rnacentral:rRNA from 1 species
AGACCCGAAACCCGGUGAUCUAGCCAUGGGCAGGUUGAAGGUUGGGUAACACUAACUGGAGGACCGAACCGACUAAUGUUGAAAAAUUAGCGGAUGACCUGUGGCUGGGGGUGAAAGGCCAAUCAAACCGGGAGAUAGCUGGUUCUCCCCGAAAGCUAUUUAGGUAGCGCCUCGUGAAUUCAUCUCCGGGGGUAGAGCACUGUUUCGGCUAGGGGGCCAUCCCGGCUUACCAACCCGAUGCAAACUGCGAAUACCGGAGAAUGUUAUCACGGGAGACACACGGCGGGUGCUAACGUCCGUCGUGAAGAGGGAAACAACCCAGACCGCCAGCUAAGGUCCCAAAGUCAUGGUUAAGUGGGAAACGAUGUGGGAAGGCCCAGACAGCCAGGAUGUUGGCUUAGAAGCAGCCAUCAUUUAAAGAAAGCGUAAUAGCUCACUGGUCGAGUCGGCCUGCGCGGAAGAUGUAACGGGGCUAAACCAUGCACCGAAGCUGCGGCAGCGAACGUAUCACUUAAAGCGAUUCAGCGGGUUACGAUUGACGGAGCGAAGCGACGUCAAAGCGUAUACAAAGUCGAGUCGGUUUAAGGAUACGUUCGUUGGGUAGGGGAGCGUUCUGUAAGCCUGUGAAGGUGUGUCGUGAGGCAUGCUGGAGGUAUCAGAAGUGCGAAUGCUGACAUAAGUAACGAUAAAGCGGGUGAAAAGCCCGCUCGCCGGAAGACCAAGGGUUCCUGUCCAACGUUAAUCGGGGCAGGGUGAGUCGACCCCUAAGGCGAGGCCGAAAGGCGUAGUCGAUGGGAAACGGGUUAAUAUUCCCGUACUUGGUGUUACUGCGAAGGGGGGACGGAGAAGGCUAUGUUGGCCGGGCGACGGUUGUCCCGGUUUAAGCGUGUAGGCUGGUUUUCCAGGCAAAUCCGGAAAAUCAAGGCUGAGGCGUGAUGACGAGGCACUACGGUGCUGAAGCAACAAAUGCCCUGCUUCCAGGAAA